AGCUGGAUUCGCUAGUACUCGCGCAUCAGCCAUGGCGCGGUGAAUACGUUCCCGGGCCUUGUACACACCGCCCGUCAAGCCAUGGGAGCCGGGGGUGCUUGAAGUGCGUCGCCGCAAGGCGCGCCCUAGAGCAAAACCGGUGACUGGGGCUAAGUCGUAACAAGGUAUC
rnacentral:rRNA from 1 species